rnacentral:rRNA from 1 species
UACGAAGGGGGCGAACGUUAUCCGGAAUUAUUGGGCGUAAAGGGUGCGUAGAUGGCUUGAUAAGUUAGCAGUGGGAAAUCGAGGCUCAACCUCGUGGAAGCUGGUAAUACUGUCAGGCUCGAGUGCAGGAGAGGUCAACGGAACUCCAUGUGGAGCGGUAAAAUGUGUAGAUAUAUGGAAGAACACCAAUAACGGCGAAGGCAGUUAACUAUUCUGUUACUGACAUUGAGGCACGAAAGCGUGGGGAGCAAAACGG